UGCGAGUCAACGUAGCAAUACGUGGCAUACGGCUCAGUAACACGUAGUCAACAUGCCCAGGGGACGUGGAUAACCUCGGGAAACUGAGGAUAAACCACGAUAGGUCAUAAUGUCUGGAAUGAUUUAUGGCUAAAAUCUACAUGGCCCCUGGAUUGGACUGCGGCCGAUCAGGCUGUUGGUGAGGUAAUGGCCCACCAAACCUAAAACCGGUACGGGCUCUGAGAGGAGAAGCCCGGAGAUGGGCACUGAGACAAGGGCCCAGGCCCUAUGGGGCGCAGCAGGCGCGAAAACUCUGCAAUAAGCGAAAGCUUGACAGGGUUAUUCUGAGUGAUUUCCGCUAAGGAAAUCUUUUGGCACCUCUAAAAAUGGUGCAGAAUAAGGGGUGGGCAAGCCUGGUGUCAGCCGCCGCGGUAAUACCAGCACCCCGAGUGGUCGGGACGAUUAUUGGGCCUAAAGCAUCCGUAGCCGGUUCUACAAGUCUUCCGUUAAAUCCAUCUGCUUAACAGAUGGGCUGCGGAGGAUACUAUGGAGCUAGGAGGCGGGAGAGGCAAGCGGUACUUAGUGGGUAGGGGUAAAAUCCGUUGAUCCACUGAAGACCACCAGUGGCGAAGGCGGCUUGCCAGAACGCGCUCGACGGUGAGGGAUGAAAGCUGGGGGAGCAAACCGGAUUAGAUACCCGGGUAGUCCCAGCUGUAAACGAUGCAGACUCGGUGAUGAACAGGCUUC
rnacentral:rRNA from 1 species